rnacentral:rRNA from 1 species
CAGUCGUGCUGGCGCGAAAUCAGCUCGACCACUAGGGGAUCACGGGCCGUAGCGAGCCUCAAAACCGUUACGACUUGUGAUUGCUUAGUGGCCUGGUGCACUUUCGUGUCGGCUGGUUAACAUCAAUUUCGAUCGUCAUAAAAAGGCUGGAGGGAUGUGGCUCCUUCGGGAGUGUUAUAACCUUUGGCGGAAUGUGGUGGUCGGGAUUGGAGGUUUGCAACGAAUACC